rnacentral:rRNA from 1 species
GAUGAACGCUGGCGGCGUGCCUAAUACAUGCAAGUCGAACGAAACUUCUUUAUCACCGAGUGCUUGCACUCACCGAUAAAGAGUUGAGUGGCGAACGGGUGAGUAACACGUGGGCAACCUGCCCAAAAGAGGGGGAUAACACUUGGAAACAGGUGCUAAUACCGCAUAACCAUAGUUACCGCAUGGUAACUAUGUAAAAGGUGGCUAUACUACCGCUUUUGGAUGGGCCCGCGGCGCAUUAGCUAGUUGGUAGGGUAAAGGCUUACCAAGGCAAUGAUGCGUAGCCGAAUUGAGAGGUUGAUCGGCCACAUUGGGACUGAGACACGGCCCAAACUCCUACGGGAGGCAGCAGUAGGGAAUCUUCCACAAUGGGCGAAAGCCUGAUGGAGCAACGCCGCGUGGGUGAAGAAGGUCUUCGGAUCGUAAAACCCUGUUGUUAGAGAAGAAAGUGCGUGAGAGUAACUGUUCACGUUUCGACGGUAUCUAACCUGAAAGCCACGGCUAACUACGUG